UCCGGUUUGUCACCGGCAGUCCCAUUAGAGUGCCCAACUGAAUGUAGCAACUAAUGGCAAGGGUUGCGCUCGUUGCGGGACUUAACCCAACAUCUCACGACACGAGCUGACGACAGCCAUGCAGCACCUGUGUCCAGGUUCCCUUUCGGGCACACCCCCAUCUCUGGAGGCUUCCUGGCAUGUCAAGGGUAGGUAAGGUUUUUCGCGUAUGUCGAGUAUCCAUAGUUUAGGGCGUGGACUAC
rnacentral:misc_RNA from 1 species